AUUUGAAAAGGCAGAGAAAGAAGGGUACAUCGGGCUGCUUCAGGAAGACUGGAAUAGAGACCUUCACAGAAGAGAGAGGCCCCAUAUCAGAAGGAAGUGUGACCCAGAAGGAUGGAGCUCUUCAGAGACAGGCUUCUUUGAGAAUCAAGAAAGAUUCAGAACAGGUGAAUUGAGUAGAUUGUGGCUUUUGGAAACUGAGUAACACAGUAGCAAAUUGCAUAGCGUUUUAAACACUGCAACCUGACUUAAGAGAGAAUCCCCCUGUAAAGGUAAGGCUGAGGGAUGGUCAGUAUAAAUACCUUAGGAAAUGUAGGUUACCUCUUAUCUACCCCCGGUCUCUUUGCUUUUCUUGUUACUGUGUUGUUCCAUGUAUUUGUGUUUGAUAAGAAAAUGAACCGAUAUGUGUAAAAGUGUGUGUAUAUGUGUUUGAAGGAUAGACGGGAGGUUGUUGGUUGCCCAGAUUUACAUUUCUCCAGGCUUAAAUCACCGUGCCUUUUACAGUAGCCAAAAGAGGCACACAGUUCUAGAAGCACUGACUGAGGGUCCAGAGGAGAAAAAUUCAAAGAUGUUCACUAAUAGUACCAGAAAGACCUCAAGUCCCUCUGAGUCUCAGCUGUGGUCAAAGGAGGAAAAUGCCAUCCUAGAUUUUUCUGUAACAUAUUUGGGACCUAUUUGGAGAGAAGAUAGAGGCAUACAACUUUGAGUGCUUAUAGAAAACACUAGUUUCAAUUUGUACUGCAUGUCACCUACUGACCCGUAUUGCCCUCAGUAUGAAAUGUGUUGUUGCAGUGAUCUCUAGCUGCUUUUUUGUUGUCGUUGCUUUUGAACCCCAAGUUAAGUAUGAUGAAAACCUUCCAAAUCUGCCUAGAUUACUGCCAAGAAAGAGAUGGGUGCAUACUGAUCCCAUGCCAGGCAAAUGAAAAACUGGCAACAUCCUGGGAUGAGCUCUCCUGCUGCCAGUUUAGUUUUUGCUUACAUGUGGCCAAUGGUUGUCAACACUCAUGAUGAGGGGGUAUAAGCAUGAGCUUGUCACCUCAAAGGCUAGGUUACCAGAUUUAGCAUUGUUUAAAGAAGUAACAAGAAACACUAAAAGUUUAACAUCUGACA
rnacentral:lncRNA from 1 species